rnacentral:rRNA from 1 species
UACGGAGGGAGCUAGCGUUGUUCGGAAUCACUGGGCGUAAAGAGUGCGUAGGCGGUUAUGAAAGUUAGGAGUGAAAGCCCCAGGCUCAACCUGGGAAUUGCUUUUAAAACUACAUAACUCGAAUUCGGGAGAGGAUAGCGGAAUUGUCAGUGUAGCAGUGAAAUGCGUAGAUAUUGACAGGAACACCGGUGGCGUAAGCGGCUAUCUGGACCGACAUUGACGCUGAGGCACGAAAGCGUGGGGAUCAAACAGG